rnacentral:rRNA from 1 species
UACGUAGGGGGCAAGCGUUGUCCGGAAUCAUUGGGCGUAAAGCGCGUGUAGGCGGCCCGGUAAGUCCGCUGUGAAAGUCGGGGGCUCAACCCUCGAAUGCCGGUGGAUACUGUCGGGCUAGAGUGCGGAAGAGGCGAGUGGAAUUCCUGGUGUAGCGGUGAAAUGCGCAGAUAUCAGGAGGAACACCAAUUGCGAAGGCAGCUCGCUGGGACGUGACUGACGC